rnacentral:lncRNA from 1 species
CGCUGCCCCGUCACCUGACCGCCGUGCGCGCGCACCGCACCGCGCACCGCACCGCCCCGCAUCCCCUCCCAUCCCGCGGGGGCGGGGGGUGCCCGGUAUAUACGGCCCCGCCGCCCCCGCCCCUCCUGCCUCCUGCAGCAGGGGAGGCCGCCGCUCGCCGCCGAGCCGCGCCCGGCCCCGCAGGUGGGCGAGCCGCAGCGGGGCCCCCCUACGCCGCGGGGUGCGGACCUGUUGCGGGCGGCUCCGCUUCUCCCCCCCAGCAGCACCGGGUCCGGUCCCAAGAUGGCAGCCGCUGCCUGGCCCCCUCCUGCGUUUUACUGCAACGUGGCUCGCAGCACCAGCCGGCACGGGAGAGUGCAGCGCUUGCUCUGCCACUUACUCAGCUGCUGAGGAAAUUGGGCACCAUUGGAAAUGGAUGAAGAUGGAGCAUAGAGGACGCAGGGCCCUGCCAGGUGCCGUGCAGCAGCUGGUGUUGUGAAUCAGGCCGUCACCAGUUGGAGAACGGCUACUUCACAACACCAGGGUGGCACUGCACCACACUUCAUCGCCAGCCAGAGGAGCAGUGAGGGUCCCAGAUGGGCACAGCCACAGGAGCCCAGACCUGCUAAGGUAAAUCAUGUGCUCUACUCCUAUUUAGGUAACCAGCCUCCCGUGGAAGUCUGGAAUAGGCCCUCUAAACAUCUCUGUGGGUCCAAUCCUUAGGCUUCUGUGUGCUGUGUGAAUGGGGAAGAGGUAUGGAAGGCAGUGGGGUGAGCAGUCUCUGUAUGCCAGGCACAUCUCCCAGCAGAGAUGGUUGAAGCCAUUAUUAUAAACUACCUCAGUCUCAUCCUGAAUAUGUGAUGCAGGCAGAAAGAUAGAUGGAGGGGAGAGUCGGAGAGUCAGAAUACACACGAGAUCAGAAAUAACAUGGGACAGUCUGGAAAUGCACGUGCACAGACACAUGUGGGUGGCUGCAUCACACAUCCUCAUCUUCCCCUUCAGUAAAGCUUCCUACAGAAGCAACCCCGAGUUCUGUCCAUGGUGAAAAGCUCUCAGCCAACACCAUGAAGGGCAUGGGAGGAAUGAGUAUGACAUUGUCAACCUGACAUGUAAGAAGUCUGUUUUAUUAAACUUGUCUUCUGCUAACAGAAAAUGUGUCCUCUGUGUCCUGGCCUCUGUGUUUAUUGUAACCUUGUUUUAAAGCUCACUACCUGUAAGGUGGCUGCAAGGUUUGUUCACUGUAAGGUUUGUUUCACAGGAUAAAAUAAUGCAAGCCUUUAGAAGCAGAGGGUUACAAGAAUGUAACCCCUGCACACAUCCUCUAUUUACAUGGACAGCUAUUCAGAUGUAGCAUUAAAUACCAUUUCAUCUUCCUUUGUGAACCAGAAGCCUCUUUGACCUAUUCAGUUUCUGUCUACAAACACACAUAACAUUUGAAAUAGGUUAAUGCUUAAUAUCUGCUGACAGAUGACCUGAUGGAUGAUCUCCAUCCUUCUCUUAACUAUGCGGUGUGGAGAUACGGUAUGGAUAAGAUGGCUGAUUUUCAGUUAUUUUUGUGAAGGAAUUUCUUGGGAUGUGACAUGUCAGAGGGGGCCUUUAUUGUACUCUGUGUUUCUAACUGGAAUCCAUCACACUUUAUGUUCUUCUAAAAUGAUUUCCUAGAAAAUUAAUGCAUGCCAUAAUGUGGCACUGCUGCUGAAAAUCAAAUGCUCUUGCUCGUCAUUAAGGAACCCGAUCAUCCUGGCCAUCCAGUAGGGAGGAUGGAGGGCUGAAUAGCUGGCUGUCAGCUUUAGAUGAUGGAAGCAAUUUCUGUUUGCUCCAUUCAGCAGUUAGAAGUACUUAAUUUUAGCACGUACUGCAAUGAAAGGUGAAUGCACAGAAUAAAUGGCUCAAUCUGAGUUUUAU